rnacentral:ncRNA from 1 species
AUGCGCUUCGGUGAAAAGGGAAUCGGGUGAGAAUCCCGAGCAGAUCCGCUGCUGUGUGCUUCGGAAAGAAUCUGCGGACAACAAUCCAAAUACUAAGCCACUGUGUCGAGUGCCGAUGCGGGAAGGCAGUCCGCCGAAAAGAAGUAAGCCAGAAGACCUGCCAAGGUUUAU